GCUUGCCAUGUGUCACCGCUGGAGGAUUUUAAUCUUGGCCGGUGAUUGGCUAUCUCCACUUGGAAAACACUAUGUUGUUUCAUGAAAAGGAAAGUGGGAUGGAGGGGAAGAUCGACCUAUGUACUAUCCCUUCCCCUCAAUAGAUUUUAUUUGCUGAAAUCUAGCUUAAAAUAUGUGACUUAAUUAUAUGUACACUGCCUCUUGAUUUUUUGACUUUUCUAUGCAAGCUAUUAUUUUCUAAAUAGAUGAGUUAUUUAUAGGAGGCUUUUUGAGACAAUCGUUGAUGGGAGCAGCUGCUAAUGAAUUUUAUUUG